rnacentral:lncRNA from 1 species
AAGAAACCUGGAAAGGUAGGGAGUACCCUUGGCUGUGUACAUUUGAGUAAAGAGAGCACUAUAAAAUCAAAAACCAAUGAAAUGGUUUCCAGAACACAGAACUAUUAAGCUUAAGAAAAGGACAGAAGGAACUGAAGAGAGAGGAACUGUUUUGGAGCAUCACACUUCCACCUCAGAAGAAAUAAGGAAGGAAGGAGGAGGGUGUUCCCACGGCUCUUCAACCAGGCCGGCUCUUCAGCCUACAUCCCCAUCUCAUCAAGUAAAAGGGAUUUUUCAACUGGACCAACCAGAUGGUUUAACAGUGCACUCCCACACCAUUCAACUACGCAAGGGAGAUACACUUAACAUAUGCAGUCGUAUAACACCUACUAACAUUUUCAAACAUUAAACCUUUAAAAAAGAGUUCUAAAGAAAUAGAAGCUUGAAGUAUCAUCUCUCAAGUAUAUAGACACUACUUCAUGGUGUGGUAAUAUAUGCAUAUAGAAGCUAGUAAACACCUCCAGGAGAUGCAAAAGGAAUUAGAACUGCCACAAGGUGCAAGCAAAACCUUGAGGUGAGAAAAUCGAAUUUGGACACCGUUGAGGAGACUAUUGCAGUCAUCCAAGCUCAAGAUGGUGGAGCUUCAUCCUUGAGAAUAACCAAUGGGGAUAGAUUUAAGAGACACUUAGAGUCUGCAGCCAACAGGGCUGAAUGAGCAGUAAGUAGGAG